UGUAUCUAAUUUGUUGGAAAUCUCAUAAAAGGAGUAGGAGUUUAGGAACGGGAAAAAAAAAAAAGGAAAAAGAGCCGCAAAUGAAUAUCGUUUACAACUAAUCGGAUUUUGGAGGUCAACUGAGCAAGACCAUUUCAAUAAGUCUGAGCUCUGCCAGUUAUGUUUCUUCGUCAAGUGGCCGUGGCAUUGCCUCUAUCAAGGAGGUUCUUAAGCAGUAAAAGCAGCCAUGAAUUUACUAGUGCAAUAGCGGAGCUCAAUAAGGUAUCCUACAUACAUUGUUUUUCCUCAUCUUGGCACAGAAAUUAUUCGAAUGGGUAAUGGGUUUUGCAAGUAAGAGCUGAAUAAGAGUUAAGACACAAUGGUGUUGUAAGUAUGUCACUAGAGGAUUUGGUUCACGGGGAUGUAGUUGAUGCUUCAUUUGUUGUUUGCACUGUUAGAUAUGUCCACUGAUUGGGUAGCAAGAGCAGUGCUAUAGAUACAUCUUUUUUGUAUGUAAUAAUUUUAGUAUGUGUUAUUUUUUAUUUACUUGUUAUGAUUAGAGAUACGUUGUUGUAGUUGGAGGGAAAUCCGGUGCUCUGCAUUGUAUUCAGUAGCUAGCCACGGGCUAAUUCUAUUUCUCAUCAGUUUGCAAUUGAGGCUUGCAUUUAGAAAGGAGUACGCAUGAAUCAAUUAUUAGCAGAAUGUCCACCUGUCGGACUGUUUUUCCACCAUCUCUCCUAAAACCAAUUGGUGUUAGGAAGGAUUUCAAUUGAGUCUUUUAUGGCAUUCGACUUCGCACCUGCAAGUCUAUUUGUAGAGCAGCCGCAGGGAGUGGCAUUGUGUAACCAAAUCUGGGGGCACUAUGGGCCCAACAAUCCCUCCCUCACGAUGACGCUCCCGCAACUCGAACUCAUGACUUUCUGGCUUUAAUACCACUUGUCGGACAUCUUUUCCACCAUCUCUCCUAAAACCAAUUGGUGUUAGGAACAGUUUCAAGUAAGUUUUUUAUGACAUUCGACUUCAUACCUGCAAGUCUGUUUUUAGAGCGGUCGCAGGGGCCAGGGAAUGGCAUUGUGUAACCAAAUCAUGGGGGCACUCUGGGCCCAUCACCACCCAUUCUCCUUUUUCCUUCAAAGACCUAUUUAAAUGGUUUAUGCAUGCAUUCGAAUGGAGACACUGAUGGAGCUUCUCCUCAUCCUCUUUCUCUAUAGAGUUUUUAGUUUCACGUUUUCCUACUUGUUGAUGUUAUAAUGCUUCAUGUCACAAGGAUCUGAUGGGUUUCUUAACAUGUUGGUUGUGGUUUAUAAGCAUACAACCCUCCUCAUUUCUACGAGCUUGGGAUUGACUGUGUGAUAGAUAAGACUUAAAGCAUGAAACAGACACAGUUGUAAAUGUUACAAGGCUACAAGGAUUUUGAGUGUUAGGCAAUUAUAGGUUUGUGAGAUUUGCUUUGCUGCACGAACGCAGCCUUGAAAGUUGUAUCAUAGGGAAAGAACACCAGUCCGGUGCAGAAGGGAUGUAUCGUUCCUAGCGCGGUUUCAAGUGCUUUGACCACCCCAACAUGAUUUCCUAAUGGUUUCUCUAUGAAUACUAUGGGUUGAUUAUAUUGUUAACUAUUAUUGUUAUGUUGAGCUUUCUAAAAGAAAA